GUUGCAUUGUUAUCUUUGCCAUAAUCUGUUGUCCCUGCUUAGCUUGUUUGGCCUGCUGCGCCAUUUGUCAACGUCGUGACGAGGAGGAAGAAUGAGUGUAAAUUCAGUGCUGCCUGCUGCACAAUGUUUGUAGACUUACUUUGAUCAGAAGCCAUCACAGAACGAAGAGUUGAAUACGUAAUAGGCCACGGUGCAUGUUGCAAACAGCAACAGUAUAAAUACGCUAAAUGUAGCUACAGAGAGCAGCAGUGGAGCAAGAAAGUCCGGUAGCAUAGUAAAGAUUCAUAAAUGUUUGUAUAAAAAAGAAAAUAAAAAUUGACAGUAAACUCUACAAAUGAUUUUUCUUUCAUCGCAUUUCAAAUAUUAUUAACAACAAAAUUGAGCAUUUAGGCUCUCAAGUCAGUCAGUUAUUUUAAUCCAAUGGAGAGAGCCAACGCUGGUAAGCCUGCCGGCAGCAAGGAUACGCCGGCAAUCAUAUUCGCCUUUAUCAUGCUGGGUAUUCUAUGCUGUGGCUGCUUACUAAUUUUAAUCCUUUGCCUGCCUUGCUUCGCACUCUGUGCCUGUUGUGCCUGCGAGGAGGAUUAUAUGGAAGAAUGUGACUGAAGCAAUCAGAAAGACACACACACUAUUUAGAUAAGCGAAAAUAUUUGUUUAUGUACAUUUGUAACAGUUGCUAGAAUUUGGAAUAUGUGCUGCUCUAACAAAUCAAAAUUUACUGUCAAAUAAGCAAAAUGCAAAGUGAUUUACAGCAAUAUCAAAUUCCUAUUCUUUUAAUCUUGA